UAUCACUCAGCAAUGCUCCAUUGGAAUUGCUCAUCCAGAAUCUGGUAGGAGAGAUUAAACGUGUGUACAAGAAUCGUAACGACCCUAUUAUUAUAAAGUUGUUGUAAUUGAAAAGUAAUAAGGCAAUUUACAACUAGGGAUUGUGAGUUUGAGGAAAUAGUGUGGGUUCGGUUAGGUACCAGUCUCAGUUUACAAGACCUGCAAGCUGGGUUUCCAGCACUUCUCUAAGCCCCUCUCCUACUGCUGCUCCCUUUGCUUUAUAACUGUAAAUGUGUGUAAGUCUGCUCAUAUUUAUUCACAUCCCUCAACAGGUAUUUGUUGAGCCAUGCACUGUGUAGAUAUAGGGCAUACAGCUGUGGACAAACAAGGAGGGAUCACUGCAGCCACCCACGCAGCUGACGUUCUGUCACGGGCAGGAGGUGUGGCAGGUGGCAAGAGAAGGGUUACAGCAGAAAGGCAGUGUGCUGUAGGAAAAUACAUAGGGGAAGGGGCAGAAGAGUGGGGGUUUGCAGUUUAAAAUAGGGGGUCAGAGGAACUCUCCUUGAGAAGGCACACUGGAGUUAGGACUGAUAGACAUUGAGGGAAUUAAACAGAUAAGAGGGAGAGCAUUUCGGACAAAGGAACAGCCAGGAUAAAGGGCUAAGAUGGGAGCAUGCCUGGAACAUCUCCUACCACUGCAGCCAUAACAGAUAGGGAGGAGAGUAAUAGGAGAUCCUAUUGCUGAGUCAGGGCAGAGAGGCAUCACAGAUUUUACCCUGAGUUAAGAGGAACCCACAGCAGCGUAGCAGUAGAAGUGCAAUGGGAUCUUAGGCUUUUAAAGAUUUGUCUGGUCACAAUGACAACAGUAGACAUAGUGGGGCCUGGUUGGAUGCAGGAGCUUGUUCCUGCUAGGAGCCCAUUGCUGUGGUUCACGUGAAGUGUGGGGGUGCCUGGAGGAGGCAGUCAUGGGGGACGUAGGGGGUGUACAUGGAACCUAGAGAAUCUCCUGACAGAUGAGGAAUGUAAGAGAUAGAGAGACAUAAAGAAUGACUCAAAGGAUUCUAGCUGGAGUAACUGAGAAGUUCCCUUCAACUGAAAUGUGGGAAGUUGUAAAAAUAGUAGGUUUGGGAGAGACAGCAAGGAGUAUUUUGGACAUGUCUGACUGAAAAUAAUUGUUUAACACUGAAGUGUAGUAUUAACAAGUACACAUUUGGUUGUGCAAUGUGGCAUUUAGGAGAGUGAUCUGAACUGGAAAUAAAAAUGGGGAAUUGUAUUUUCAGUACUCACUGGCUGGUAUAAAAACACCCAGAAAUGGACAUUGUCGUAGACAGAGAGAACUCCAGGAGAGUCCCUCUAAGUCAGGCUUGAGAAACUGGGAGACAGAUUUCCUGGUAGGGAUAGCAGUGGCAGCCAGGACCCAAAACACCAAAAUUCUGAGCAGGGAGAACCUCCUCUUUCAGUCAGAGGAGCUGUUGUCUCAAGAGGGUGUGGGUAAGUGCCCAUUGCUUCUCUUUGCUGUUUGCCCUUUGGCCUUGUACAGGCAUACUUGUUGGAAGUGCACAGCAGAUGAAGGUAAAUAUAAGUCGGAUGUCUGGCUGGGGGACCAACAAGGGGGAGCCCUAGGGAGCUGAAAAGUAGCAGGAUGAUGGGAAAGAGUGAGGAAUUCAGGAGGAGGUCCCCAUAAAGUCAUUGGGGAGCUCUUGGACUCAUUCCCAGGCCGUGUAUGUGUGUCUCUGAUGCUUAACAGCAGACCAGACACUUUAAGAAUUUGAACCAAGAGAUGGGCCACUGCCCAGAUCCAAAACUGACCAAAGGUCUUGAAAACAUAACUAAUACUGAAGCCAUCGUCCACAGAUGGUUGGAGUGUGCAGCCUGAAUACAACCAACCUGAUUGAAUGCUAAAAUAACGUACCCGGCCUGUAACUACUCAGCUCAUCAAGGAUCCAAAGAUCUCAGCUUGCAUGGGAGAUGAUCAACAGAUGCUGUCCAUGAAGACAGCUCUUGGAAUUAUCUUAGAAAGAUUUUAAAGCAGUUGUUGCAGAAAUGCUCCAGGAAGUAAGGGUAACUGUUUCAAUCACCUCUUCACCUUGUUGGUGAGAGAAGGAUUCCUGCCCUGGGUUUCUAGGUUGACCAGACACGUGAUACCUGGCACUAGGCAGGUGUGAUCCACUGUUUCUUAGUUGCAUAUACUCACAGCCCAGGGGAAGAGGAUACUACAUGCCACCCGGGGCCACACAGAGGUUGCCCUUGGGAGCAGAAUGAAAAACAGGCUGUGGGAGGAAGGCUUUGUAGUGACGAGGCAGAGUACCCCCUGGCUCCCCUAGGAGGAUGUGAUUGGGUUACUUGAAGAAUUCCCUAGUCUGGCAGGGAACUGGAGUCCGCUCCCCAGGGAUAAGUAGGCACCAUGUCUGGAGUCCUUGAUGAGGAAGGUUGUUUGUGUAGGGUGCUCACCCACGGGGCAGAGUGGGGAGCUUGUAGUUAGGCCAUCUGUGGUUCACCUGGUUUGCCAAGAUGUUCAGCAGCACAGCAUGUUGGGCCUUGACACCUCAGAAAAGAAAUUUAAGGAUAUAAAGUAUCCACAAACAAAUUUUAGGCCUGAAAAAUACAAUAGCCAAAAUAACACAUUGGGUGGACUGAACUGCAGAAGAGAGAUGACAGAAGAAAGCUUGAGUGAACUUGGAAGAUGGGUCAGUAGGAACUAAGUCUGAAUAACAAAUAAAAAAGACUGAAUAAUGAACUGAACCUCAAGGGACCUAUGGGACAAUACUGAAAUGUUUAACAUUUGUGCCACAAGAGUCCCAGGAAAGACUUAGCAAAUUUGAUGAAAGACAUGAACAUAAGGAUUUAAAAAGCUAAGUGAACCAAACAAGGUAAGUCCAAAGAAAUCCAUGACUGGGUACAUCAUAAUUAAAUUGCUUAAAACUAAAGAACUAAACAAAAAACCUUGAAAGUCAGAGGAAAAUAACACAUUAUUUAUAGGGAAACAAUUAUUUGAACAACUAGAUUCCUCAUCAGAAACAGUAGAGUUCAUAAAUAAGUGGAAUGUUGUUUCUGAAGUACUGAAUGGAAAGAAUUGUCACCCAAGAAUUCUGUUUCCUGAGAAAAUAUCCUGAGCAAAGGAUGAAAUAACAUUCUCAGAUUAAGGAAAACUUAAAGGAAUUAUUGCUGCAAGACUGAGUGUGGUGUUGGUGAAAGGUUAUAUACAUUGAUCAGUGGAGAUAAAGAAUCCAGAGACAGAUCCAUACAAAUAUGGCCAGGUGAUAUUUGACAAAGGUACAUUGGCAAUUCAGUGGAGAAAGUAUGGUGUUGGAAAAGUCAGACAUACAUGUGCAAAAAAAAAGAAAAUCCUCUACUUCAGUCUCACAAUUGAUAUGAAAAUUGAUUCAGAAUCGUAAAUUUAAAUUUAAAGUGUAAACUGUACAAAUUCUUGAAGGUUCAUGAACCCAGAGACUGUCUGUCUCAUUCCCAGCCCUUGAGACCACAGGGCUGGUAGGUGUUCAGUGAGUAUUAGUAAAUGUGUGAAUAUCUGCUCCUGGAGGAGAUGGCAUGAAAUUGCCUUCAGUGAGUAGUUAGUUAUCCAAAGUAAAUUGGAGAAUUACUAUUAUAGGAAUAUUUUAUUAACUGUGUGUUUUUCAUCAUUACAUUCAACUUCAUUAAUCAGCACACUUAUCCACUCAGCAGUGGCAGUUGGGAUUGAACAGCUGAAAAGCAGCCAUCUCUGCCUGUGGGCAGGGUCCUCGUUCGUGGGAGGGGCUCUGGGCUGUGCCACUCUAUACUUGAAUCGCCUCCCUCAGUAAGCUGUAUUUCAUUAGGUAAGCUAUUUCUGCACUUCAUACUGCUGUUUCUUUUUUUGUGCCAUGGAAGAUGAUGAUACUGUCUAUAGAACAGGGCUGUUGUGAGAAUUGGCGAGGUAUAUGUGUUUUUAUAAUAUUCUCUGGUACAUUGGCAGGAUGGACACUUAACUGUUACUAUUCAUGUUGUUAGCUAUAAUUUUCUUCUUUUUAAAAUAUUUUUAACAGCUCUACUAAGUUAUAUAAUUGAUGUACAAUAAAUUACAUAUGUUUUUAGCUUACAGUUUGAUUAGUUUUUGUCAUAUAUACACCCUGAAACCAUAUCCACAGCCAUCACCUCAGAAAACAUGAAAAGUUUUUUCAUGCAAUUACUGAACCACUUUGUGUCAUUACAGAUUAGUUUUCAUUUUCUAGAGUUUUACAUAAAUGUUCUGUGGCAUUAUAGGAGUUUUUCUUUGCAUGGUUUCCUUCACUCAGCAUAAUUAUUUUGAUAUUCAUUGAUGUAGUAAGUUUCAAGAGUUUAUUCCUUUUUAUUGCUGAAUGGUAUUGCAUUGUGUAGAUAUACCGCAGUCUAAUGAUCUGUUCAUAUGUGGAUAGACACUUGGCUUAUUUCCAUUUUGGGGGUCCUAGGAAUGAAGUGGCUGUGAAUGUGUUGUCUAAGUCUUUGUAUAGACAUAUGCUUUAAGUUAACUUGUGUAAUUGCUUAGGACUGGAAUAGCUUCACAUGGUAAAUGUAUGUUUGCAUAUUUAAUACACUGCCAAAUUGGUUUCCAGUGUGGUUGGACCAGCCGUCUAUGAGAGUUCCCACCAGCAGUGAUGAGAGUUCCCACCAGCAGUGAUGAGAAUUCCAGUUUCUUUUGCAUCCUCACCAAGGCUUGGUGUGAUUUUUAGUCCUUCUCAUGGGCACAUACUGUACACCUUUCAUUAUGACAGUCUACAUCAUAUGAUAAACCAUUUUACAUACAAGAAUGUUAUAGUAAGUACUUUUAUUGUUUUCUUCUGACUUUUGUCUUGUUGUUGUUAUACAUUUUAUAUAUGCUGUAAACCCAUGUGCAUGGUUGAUUUUCUUUGUUUAAAUAAUUAGUUGUUUUUAAAAGAGAUUAAAGUAAUUAGGAAAAUGUCCUAAGUAUACCCCUCUGUAGUUAUUCCUAGCCAUUUUAUUUCAUUGUGUAGACCCAUACUUCUAUUACUGUUCCUUCUCCAGGACUUUCUUUAAUAUUUCUCUUGUAUAGGUCUGCUGCUGCUGAGCUCCUUCAGCUUUUGAGUAUCUGGAAAAGUAUUUUAAUUCUGUAUUUCAAAAUAUUUUUCUUGGAUAUAGAAUUGUAGGCUGGCAUUUAUCUUUCAGUACUAUCUGCUGUCAUCCUUAAUGUUGUUUGUUGUAUAUAAACACAUUUUUUUUUUCUAGAACUGCUUUAGGAUUUUCUCCUUGUAACUGAUUUUGAACAGCUUUAAUUAUGAUGUGCCUGAGAGUAAUUUUCUUCAUGGUCCUUCAGCGUGGCCUGUAUUUUGAAUGAACUCUGUGCAUCUCUCCUCCUUUCUGGUGGUUCUUUCCUGUACUCAGAGCGCUUCCUUGAACAAGAAGUGGUGGGUACUCUGCUCAGUACUCAAGAGGGAGCCCCUUCAGGUUUUCAGACUCUUGCUCUGUCUUGCAUGGUGUAGUUAACCUGGGUCUCCCUGGGCUCGCAGCUCUUCUUCCAUUGAGAUGUCCUGGAGAUUACUUGGUUCUACCUCUUGGUGCUGUGUCCUGGAAACUCUUCCUGGAUGAUAAGCUUAUGUAGAUGCAUGUCUCACUUGGCUUGUUUCCCAUGUUUCUGUCAUCGCUGUCCUUUGUUGUUUUAUGAAAAUGUCUUUUUGGGUGUUUCAGGCAGAAGGUAAAUCCAGUCUUUGCUACUGUAUCUUGGCUGGAAGAGGAAGUGCUGUGAUUUCUUAAAUGAAUACAUAUGCAUCUGUUCUUCACUUGCAGUAUUUAUUUAUUUAAUUUUAUUGAGAUACAAUUGACAUAGAACACUAUGUUAGUUUCAGGUGCCCAAUAUAAUGACUCCAUGUAUGUGAAUGUUGUGAAAUAUUCACUACAGUAAGUCUGGUUAAUAUUUGUCACCACGCAUUGUCACAAACUUCUUUUUUUCUUCUGAUGGAAACUUUUAUGAUUUACUCUCCAGCAAAUUUCAAAUGUACAGUACAGUAUUAUUAACUAUAGUCACCAUGUUGUCCUUUACAUUCCCAGGACUUACUUUAUAAUUGGAAGUUUAUAUCUUUUGUCCAUCUUCACCCAUUUUGCCCAAUCUCUGGCAACCACCAAUCUGUUCUGUAUCUAUGAGUUUGUAUUUUUUUUCAGAUUAAACAUAUAAGUGAGGUCAUACAUUAUUUGUCUUUCUCUCUCUGACUGACUUCACUUAGGAUAAUGCCCUUAAGGCCUGGCCAUGCUAUAUCCAUGUUCUAGCAUAUGGCAGGAUUUCCUUCUGUUUGUGGGUCAGUAAUAAUCCCUGUGUGUGUGUGUGUGUGUGUGUGUGAGAGAGAGAGAGAGAGAGAGA